ensembl:lncRNA
UCAUUUCAUUGAUAAUCUUUCACUUAAUUUGAUAUGUCAUAAAAGGGUUAUAAUUAUAUCUGGGACUCUUAUAAUGAUUGAAUUUCAAAUAUACUGCUCAAUAGAACAGUACAUUAAAAAAUUGUUUUCUAUAUUUAUACAUUUAUGUGUAAAAUUACUUUUAAAUAUUUAUGUAUAUGUACUUCCAAGGAAAAAAGUAGAAAUAGUACAAAAAUGUGAUUUUUAUAAAGAAAUCCACAAAGUCAGAUUUGAAUUUGGAAAAAGACUCUUAAAUACAGUGAACUUGACAAUACUUCUUAAAUAAAUGGUGUAAUGAAUUUUCUUAGCAAUUUGUUUCAAGCCUAAAUCAUGCAAAAUAUAUUUUACUCUACUGAUAAUAAAGUACCUAUCUGAUAUUCAUAGUUUUCUCCUUAUAUUUAGAAUACUUUCACAAAAAAUGGAAUAGCACAACUAAAAAGGGCUUUUUCAGUAAUGUAAUGUUACAAAUGAAUAUCUUCUGGCUUUUAAGGAUGAAGUGACUUGCUUAAGGUCUUAAAAAGACAGAAUUGAAAUUCAAACCCAGGUCUUUGUACUUCAAAUCCAGUUCCAUUUAUAAUACCCUUUUUUAUUGUGACAGAUAUAGAUGACAUAGAGGGACAUUUCAUCUACCUUAGUCUUCCUUGUGGAUCUACUAUUCACUUUUAUUCAUUUAUUUUUUCUUCUUUGUUUCUAUAUUUUCAGCCUACUAUUACACUUUAGCCACCAAAAUUAGCACUUGCAACAAUAGCAAAAAAAAAAAAAAAAAGAAAGAUUCCAAAAUAAGAGAAACCUAAAGCUAUCUGCCUGCUAUACAUAUUUAUGGUGAGAAAUAAUAACUUACCUCAUAUAUAUUAACAAAUGCUCACUCUCAUGAGAGAAGAAAAGGGAAUUGUUGUUUUGUUGUUUCAGUAGUGUUCUGCUCUCCAUGACCCCAUUUGGAGUUUAUUUAGCAAAGAUAAUAAAGCAGUUUGCCAUUGCCUUCUUCAGAUCAUUUUAUAGUUGAAGAAACUGAAGCAAACAAGAUUAAUUAAUUCACCCCAGAUCAUACAGUUAGUUCGUGUCUAUGGUCACAUUUGAACUCAAGUUUUCUUGACUCCAGAACAAUAUUCUGUCCACUAGUGCUCUAUGGUGUCUUUUAUGUCGUUACAGUCUAGUGAGGGAAACAUUUUCCAAAGAGAAUAUCAUUUGAUGAUGUUGGGCCACAUCAAUUAAUUAACAAUUAAGUAUUUUUAAAGUAUCUGCCACGUAUCAAAUACUGUGCUAAGGAGACAAAGACAAAAAAGACAUAGGCUCUGAUCUCAAGAAUCUUAUAUAGGUACAUGUAAUUUCUCCCAAUUUAAUUUAAGUAAAUAUAUGUACAAAACAUGUAAGAUAUAAGGCCAUUUAGGUUAGAAAGGAAGUCACUGACAGCUGGAAGUCUUUUGUAGGUGAUGAAUAAGUGGGCCUUUGAAGGAAGAAAGAUUUUUUAAAAGCUCCAGUUUAGGAAAGAAUUUAUUUCAGGCAUACAAACAUAUGGAACAUGGAAGGUGAAAUAUCAUAUAUGAGGCAUAACAAUUAGAAAAGCAUGACUGAAUCACAAUAUACAUGAAUUGAAAUAAAAUGUAAAUAGCCUACAAAUUUGAGUUGGAUUCAAAAAUAAAGGGAUUUAAAUAUCAAGAAGAGAAGUCUGUAUUUUAUCCUCAAGGAUAGGAAUUAAUAGGAAAUUAAUGAAGCUUUUGAAACAAGGGAAGACUAGGUCAAACAUCCAUUUUAGGAUAUUACCUUGACUAUAUUGAAGAUGGAUUGGAGAGUGAGGGGACUGGAAACAAAAAGAACAAAGAAGACGGUAUUAUACUGGUCCAGGUAACAGGUGAUGAGGGCUUAAACUAAGGUAAAAGCCAUGUGAAUGAUAAGAAUAGGUGGAAAGAAUUAUAAUAUAAUCAAUACAUAUUAUUUAUCAAUUAUAAUUAUAGCAUGAACUUUGGUAACUGAUAGAAUACAAUGGAGUGAAGAAGAAAGAGUCAAGGAUCACUUUUAGACUGUAAACAUAUGACUGAAACAAUGAUGGUAUUAUUGAUAGCAAUAAACUAUUUGGAAGAAGGAUGCCUACAGAGAGAAAAGUAAUAAAUUCUGCUUUGAACACAUUGAAUCAUAUAUGCCUGCAUGACAUCCAGGAAUGUCUGGAAGAAAAUUGAUGAUGCAAAAUGAAACUUGGAAGAAAGGGUAAGGUAGGUAGACAGAUAGAUAGGAGGGUCAAUGAAUCUAUGAGAGAUGUAAAUAAUACAGAAAGUUUUAUACUUUAAAAUCAAGAUAGUAUGGAAAAUUGUAAUCAUUAGUUUGAAUGUUCAGAACAUACCUCUUCAGUAUCAGAAUGGAAUCUCAUAAUAUAGUUAUGGUUUUCUAUAUUCCACGGAGAUAUACAUAUAU